CGUCAUAUUUCUUGUUAGUACUUUGUGCAAGGAGUGUCGUGUUGUUCAGGACUUCCACUUGUCUUCGGGAUAACGAGGAGUUCUCUCUCUGCGGGUGGAGAUGUCCUGCUACUUGCGUCAACUUGAGAUUCUUGCCUACAGAUCUGUGUCCAUCGACAUGGGAUUGCCGCGUCGGAUGUCGUUGCGCUGCCGGCUUCGUCAGAGACGAGUACUCCAAGCAGUGUGUCCUUGUGCAGGACUGUCCUGACAAUCGAUAUUGUCCACCUGGCGAGAUUCUGGGCACCAACCUGCAGUGCAUCAGUCGGACCCACGCCCCUGGCAUCAACGAGUCUUAUUGGACAUUCUACGACGACCCGUAGAAAGACGUCUAUUCACACGAUUUAGGUUAAAUCACGGUACAGAAAAAGGUUAAAUAAAUAUUAGCACAAUGAAUAUUAACGUUUAUAACUUCUUACCCCUCAACAUGGUUAGAAACUGGAAAGAUUUGUAAUUCUUUUAUCACACAUGCUUUCUGUAUCUAGGAACAGAAUUUUCCUUUAUCAAAAGGAGAUAAAAAGUAUAAAUAUAAAUAAUACUUGAAAUUCCACUUGUUGCAUCAAUCAAAGAUUAGG